CCCGGAUGUUAGCGGCGGACGGGUGAGUAACACGUGGGUAACCUGCCUGUAAGACUGGGAUAACUCCGGGAAACCGGAGCUAAUACCGGAUAGUUCCUUGAACCGCAUGGUUCAAGGAUGAAAGACGGUUUCGGCUGUCACUUACAGAUGGACCCGCGGCGCAUUAGCUAGUUGGUGGGGUAAUGGCUCACCAAGGCGACGAUGCGUAGCCGACCUGAGAGGGUGAUCGGCCACACUGGGACUGAGACACGGCCCAGACUCCUACGGGAGGCAGCAGUAGGGAAUCUUCCGCAAUGGACGAAAGUCUGACGGAGCAACGCCGCGUGAGUGAUGAAGGUUUUCGGAUCGUAAAGCUCUGUUGUUAGGGAAGAACAAGUGCGAGAGUAACUGCUCGCACCUUGACGGUACCUAACCAGAAAGCCACGGCUAACUACGUGCCAGCAGCCGCGGUAAUACGUAGGUGGCAAGCGUUGUCCGGAAUUAUUGGGCGUAAAGGGCUCGCAGGCGGUUUCUUAAGUCUGAUGUGAAAGCCCCCGGCUCAACCGGGGAGGGUCAUUGGAAACUGGGAAACUUGAGUGCAGAAGAGGAGAGUGGAAUUCCACGUGUAGCGGUGAAAUGCGUAGAGAUGUGGAGGAACACCAGUGGCGAAGGCGACUCUCUGGUCUGUAACUGACGCUGAGGAGCGAAAGCG
rnacentral:rRNA from 1 species